UACGAACGCUGGCGGCGUGCCUAAUACAUGCAAGUUGAGCGAUGAAGAUUGGUGCUUGCACCAAUUUGAAGAGCAGCGAACGGGUGAGUAACGCGUGGGGAAUCUGCCUUUGAGCGGGGGACAACAUUUGGAAACGAAUGCUAAUACCGCAUAACAACUUUAAACAUAAGUUUUAAGUUUGAAAGAUGCAAUUGCAUCACUCAAAGAUGAUCCCGCGUUGUAUUAGCUAGUUGGUGAGGUAAAGGCUCACCAAGGCGAUGAUACAUAGCCGACCUGAGAGGGUGAUCGGCCACAUUGGGACUGAGACACGGCCCAAACUCCUACGGGAGGCAGCAGUAGGGAAUCUUCGGCAAUGGACGAAAGUCUGACCGAGCAACGCCGCGUGAGUGAAGAAGGUUUUCGGAUCGUAAAACUCUGUUGGUAGAGAAGAACGUUGGUGAGAGUGGAAAGCUCAUCAAGUGACGGUAACUACCCAGAAAGGGACGGCUAACUACGUG
rnacentral:rRNA from 1 species